rnacentral:misc_RNA from 1 species
CUUCUGCCUCUGCUCUGCUCCCUGAAGCCUUUGACGCACUGCUUCCAUAUGAUGAACAGCUCCAUGCUGCUCCUGGUGCAGUUCUACAACCUCUUGCAUCAUCAUGCUCCUCUCUUUCCUCAAUCUUUCUACUUCACUUUCCAGUUCUGACUUUCCUACUUCAGUAGAAGGCCCAGUGUAGCUACCAACCUGCUGGGAUUGGGGUGACUUGCGCCUCUGUAUA